UUGAGAGGCAAGACACCUUUCUCGUUCGUAUUCAAACCCUUCUCGCUCUCCUUUUCUCUCUCAAAUAACUUCUUCAUCGGAAAUCGCCCCGCUGCCUCCGGUGCGACGGGGCUCGACCAAACUCAUAUCUCUUCCUUUCCCCAACUCAAUCCUAACCUUUGAUUCUUUCGAAACCCAUUCAAAAUUCCUGAAUUUGACUUGAACACGCAAAACCCUAGAAUGCCCUAAUCACAAUUAAAUGGUAACCACACAGUGAAUUGGGUAGCAAUCAGGGGCUAUGGUUCUACAUGACAUGGGCUACAACAUGGUAAUAAGAAUAAAGCAAGAGGAAAAAGAUUUUAGACGUUUCACGUUUAUCUAGGGAGCUGAGGUUUACUCCGGUGGUAAAUGUAGAGAAAGUCUAAUAUGAUGAUGAAGAAACCCAGAGGGGAGGCUCCAAUGCUCAGUAUGAUGAUGUGGUGAUCAUGAGGGAGACUUGAAGAAUAAUGAGGAAACUUGAUCAUAAAGGUAUUGGAGGAAAGUUGGAAGAAGAUGACUGGACUUGAAGGAUGUGCAUGUCAUGAUGGAUAGUUAUGUUGGAUGUGAAGAUGCUGAUUUUUCUUGGAUUAUGGUAAUUGCCUAUGUGAAUGGGAUGGAUUGACACUAAAUGGAUUGUUGUAUUGAACUAUAGUGAUUUUAGCAUGUCUUGAAUGAUCUAAUUCUCUCUUUUCUCUUUUUUAUGGGUAAUAUUAUUUAUAUUUUUUUUAAUAUUGUAGUAUAGUAAAAAAAUAAUAUAAUAAUCCUAUUUAUAUUUAUUUCUUUUCA